rnacentral:lncRNA from 1 species
AGGAUCUCCUCUCGUCUCUCCCUCGGCAUAAAAUUUAAACCACUGGAACUCAGAGGAGCAGAGCUAGGAGCUGAGCUAACCACCAGGAACGGGUGCAUCUGGUCAAGUAAGGAGCUGCCAAUCAUUUCAAGACCAGUCGGGCUAAUCCAAGCACUCUCAUAUAAGGAUACAGGUGAUUGAGAAAGCAGAGUUCUGAGAAUGACAAGCCAUCAUCCUCCUCCUUUGUCUCUCCUAGUUUGUGCAAAACUGCUUCCCUCUUCCACACUUCAGACGAGACUGUACUUGGAUGUAGGACUCUGGAAGGCUUGAGACGAAUCCUGCUCCUGGACCACUGGAAUGUUGGGAGCAGAGGCCAGAAGCAGAGAGAGCUCUGUGUCAGUCCACCUUAACUUUACAGCCAGUGAGCAGUAACAGAAACAGCAGAGGCAUUUAUCUCUGGUCCAAGUGCCCCUGCCCUUGGCAAGGAGCUGGGGUCUUACCCCGAUGGGAACUGGUCCCAUUCAGUCCUGGUCACUGGGCUCUGGCUUUAUUUUUCUCAGGAUCUGUAUGGAUAAGUUGCCUAGGACCCCAGUUCUUUCAGACGUCCCUGUCAGGUCCUUUUUUUUCAGUAGCAAAUGAGAUUCUUGAUCCCAAUUCAGGCUGGGGAACUGAAGCUGGGACUUCUGCUUGUCUUCACUUGUCAGCCUCCUCUACAUCCCGCCUGCUUCUCCUGGAC